ensembl:rRNA 5S_rRNA 5S ribosomal RNA
ACUUACGGCCACACCGGCCUGAGUACGCCUGAUCUCGUCCGAUCUCGGAAGCUAAGCAGGGUCGGGCCUGGUUAGUACUUGGAUGGGAGACCGCCUGGGAAUACCAGGUGCUGUAAGCU